CUAAUCCAUAAAGGCUUGAGUACCAGUAACAGCUAGGGCUAGAUGGCCCCAGAUUCAGGGCUUGACCAUUCCACUUACUCUUCGACUGAAGUACUAGUCUUUUUGCCAUCUAGCAACAACCCUUCCAUUAUCAAUAGCUAGCCUGGCAGCCUUGUAAACUCUACAGAUCAGAUAGCGUGGACAGCAAAGUAUGACAUAUGGAUAUAUUAGGAACAGAUGUCCAUGGGAUGGGCUACAUGUCUAUCCCAAGAUUAGCACUAAGCUUGAAAUCAACUUAGCAUUCCCUGUAACCUAAAUUAGCUUCCAUUUCAAAAUAAAUGCUGGGUG